AGGACGAACGCUGGCGGCGUGCUUAACACAUGCAAGUGGAGCGACGAACCGGGGCUUGCCCCGGGGCAGAGCCGCGAACGGGUGAGUAACACGUGGGUAACCCACCCCGAUGACCGGGACAACCCGAGGAAACUCGGGCUAAUACCGGAUGUGCUGGCCGAUCAUCAGAUCAGUCAGCAAAGAUAGCUUCGGCCUUCGCAUCGGGACGGCCCGCGGCCCAUUAGCUUGUUGGUGGGGUAACGCCUACCAAGGCAACGAUGGGUAGCUGGUCUGAGAGGACGAUCAGCCACACUGGGACUGAGACACGGCCCAGACUCCUACGGGAGGCAGCAGUGGGGAAUCUUGC
rnacentral:rRNA from 1 species